UUUCACUUGAAGCGUUUCCUUCACUCUUCAUGUAACUUGGCUGUAUCAGUCAGUGUAUGAAUAAAUAUGGAACUACUUGAGGGCAUACUAUAUAUAUGUAAAAACCCAAGAAUACUUUUGGAAAAGCCAAAAAGUAUCAGCAUAAAGUGAAAAAUAAAACGAAACAGAAACUUUUCCGACCAAACAGACGUAAGCCAGAUGUUAGAGUCUCCCGCGCGAGGAGGGCCGUGUAGGGCCCCUGUAGCUGUGCCAAGUGCAUGCUAAAUGUGGCCAGAGAGAGGUACAUGGCUUAAGUUCACUCUCUUUACACAUAAAAAUGACCGUUUCUCUCUGUUUUAUUUUGGCACACUGACGUAAAUGUGGCUAGCUAUGGCAAUAAAAAUCACGAUUAGCUAUUUUAUAACUCAAGUCAGAAUUUUCAUUGAGUGAAAGAAAGAGGCUGUGUUACCAAUGAAGAGAGAUGUUUGAUCAAUUAAAAUGAAAAACAUAUUUACUAUACGUAACUCCUGUAUGUUUAAAUAUUAUCCUGCUACAAGCUAAAAAGAAAAACUUUUCACUUACUUUUCCAGUGCUUUUUAUGUUCUUCCCUUUCUUCUGGGUUUGCUGCCUUCUGCCAACUGAGCCACUAUUUAAUACACUUUCAUUGGAACAAACUUCCGCCCUAACCAAUCUGGGAUGCAAAGAGAAUCACAAGUUUUAUUUAGGCACUUUGCAUUUUGGAAAUUAAACAGAAAUAAAAAUCAAUAUUCUCCCACUGGCACAAAUUACUUUUCUUUCUUUUUUAAGUUUUUUUUUCCAACAAAGAGGAAAGGAAGAUUAAAGAAAUGGGAUACUCGUAAAAAUCUGUUUUCCACAGACAUGCCUUAUGUGUCAGGCUGUGACCUAGAACCACAUGCUUUUGGGGCUGUGGGCAUGGUGACUAUUUCUUGGCAGAAAGACAGAUUGCAAGCGAGUGCUCACUCUACGUUCACCCAAAUAGGUUCCGGAACUUUUUGGCUCCGAGGUGUCAGGUCUUUGUGUACCUGAACCUGUAGAAGGCCGAGGGGAAAUACACACAACAUUUUUAUUAUAGGACUGUUCUUCUUAAAACACAGCCUGCCGGGCUCAUGGUUUAAAUUAUAGUGUGUCUCAUGUGAAGUUCUCACAUCUGGUUUGACAAUCAUCUUUUCAAAAAUGUAGUCUUUUGUGAGCUUGUGACGCAAAAUGAUAUGGUAAAAUGAACACAGGCGACUCACAGUUGCUUAAGUUGCAGUAGUUGCAAAACUAAGAGAAGGCAAAAAUAAAACUGGACAGAGUGCAAUGUCAUAAAAUCUAAUAUAUAAAUGGGAGGCGCAUCUAGUGUCUGUCUACCUGUGGUGGGCUGAAUGGCGACUCCCCAGAAGGAUAUGUCCACAUCCUGAUCCCUGGAACCUCUGAAUGUGACUUUCUCGGGAAGGAGAGACUUUGCCGACAUAAUCAGGCGAAGGAUGUCAAGAUGAGAAGACCAUCCUGGAUUAGGUGGGUGGGUCCUGAAUCCUUUGACAAGUGUCCUUGUAAGAGACACUUGGAGGAGAGACAGAGAGAAGAGGAAGCAGGAAUGUGGCUACGGAAGUGGAGAUUGGAGUGAUGUGGCCACAAGCCAAGGAACACCAGAGCCACCAGAAACUGAAAGAGGCUAACUUGAGCUGGAAUCCCAUAACUUGCAACACAAAUUGACCCCAUGGAUCUAGUUGCUCUCCUGGUUAAGAGAGCAUGCCUAAGGCCCGUGGUUCUUGUGAAACUCCUUGUCCAGAUCCCUUUCCUGGUGUCCAUUCCUCAGCAAGGGAGAGCUGGAGGCAAUGCAGCGGGGAAUGGCGUGACUGCAGAACAAGCCCGGAUGGAAUGAAGACUGUUUGUUAAAACACCCUGCCCUUCUGUUUACUUGGACCUGAUUUUGAAAGUACAAGUCACUUUAUUUGGGCUGGAGGAAAAAGCACUAAACCAGAUGUUGAGGUGACCGGGAUUCCUGGAAGACGUUCUUCUCUCCGACGAGACGCGUGAUGCAUGAAGUAGGAGCCCCUGCCAAGGAGCCCAGGCUGCCAUGGCCUCGCUCGCUCAUGCUUCCCGGCAUGGCCCCGAGGCUAGCUGCCUCUGUACUGCCUGAGCAUCGUCCCCUGGUGUGUCACCAGACUGCUCACUAUCUGUGCUUGCACCUGCGGGUAGGCAGUUCAGUCGCCGCAGGCCGAAGCUCCCUGUCACAGGAAUCCAUCAACACUGGAGUUCACCAAAUGGCCCAGUCCAGGUCUGUGUCAUACUGUUUUGCAAAAGCAAGAAAACUCAUUCAGGGCUUAUUACUUUUAUCCCUGACUUCCUAAGUGAGCAGCGUAGCCAGAGAGCUACCUCCUCUGACAUCCUUUAAGAGCCAUGACCACUCCUGCCCUUGCUUUGUGAUAGGCACUCCUGGACACUGAAGUGCUGCUGUUGUGCACUGCUGUGCAUCCUGUCCGAGGAUGAGUGCUCCAGUCCUUGCUCCCUCCUCCCGUGACUGGCUCAUUAGCCAGAGCAAACUGUGGCCUUGAAGGAGCAGAAGGAGCAUUUGACUCUUCCCAGCUGUCAGUCUUUGGAAAAUUAAGCAAAGUGGAAUGACAGGCAUUUAUUCAUUUAACUGGCAGUUAUUUAUUGAGCAUCUAUUUUGUGGCAGGCACCGUGGUGACACUGAGGAGAGAAGGGUGAACGAGGACAGUCCUGAGCUCAAGCACGCUGCUGGUGGGUGGUAGUGGGGGCAGACGAGGAAGGGGCACCCAUGACAUGGCAUGCGAUGCAGCACCUCCAGGACAGGGCUCGGGUGCCAGCAGCAGCUCCCUGGGUCUUGGGGGACAUUGUAAGAGGAAGCGGUGGCUCAGUGUAGACCUGAAGGACGAGAGGUCGCCAGUCAUGUGUGGAGUGGGUUGGUGGAGAUGUGCAGAGUGCAAGGAAAGCUGGAGGUGAGACCUCCAGGCAGAAUGGAGGGAGGUGUGUCCCUUAGCAUGUGGGCUCUAAGGAGCCUGGGAGAUCUUAGGGGUUCCCCGGAGGCUGACUGAAGGCUGCCCAGGGAGUCUGGCUGGUAAGGGCCUCCAAGGUCAGGUUUGGGUGUGGGAGUAGCCAUUUCUAGCUCUGGUUGAGGUGCUCUUCCCUGUCAGUGCCCCCAAAUCCUUCAGCAGUGUCUGAUACGAUAUUCUAGACUGGCAUUGUUUCUGGUGCAGUCCCCGUCUCAUUCUUCAGGAAGCAUGGUCAUGGCAAUACCUGGAGUCUCCACUGCAAGACCAGAGUGAUGGAGGCAGCAGAGCUCCUCAGCAGACCAGGAGUCUCCAGAGGCACUGCAGAAUGUCUAAGAAGCAACCUCAUUGUAUUCCCAAGACCCGGGAAUCCAGGUCUCACAGAUAUGAUGAUACAAUCUAUAGCCAGGACAUCUCUUCAUGUGUAGUGGAUACUAGGGUGAGCAGCUAUCCCCGUCUUCCCAGGAUUGAGGGGCUUCUCCAGAUGCUGCACUUCCAGUGCUAAAAAUGAGAAACUGAAAUGAAUUAGUCACCCAAGGAACGUUGACCCUGUGCUAUAUGAUCACAUUUACUCUUUAAAGCAAUGCUUUGAGAUAGACAUGAAAGCCAGAUAUGGAAGAAUUUGCAGCCUCAUACGGAUUGGCCCAUUGAGGAGUCCACUCACCUCUCUUUUAGAAAAAAGAUCACAUUUAUGGAAUAAAGAAUAUACUGUGCUCUCUACUUACCAAGAGAUUUCUUUCUCUAUUGACAACGUUUUGUUGACGUGAUUACUGUGCAGGUUCUGACGGUCGAUUCUUUCCACCUAGCUCACUGCUGAAGCUAUAAUGAUUUCCAUUUUGCAAAAAGAGGAUGAUUACUUAUUAUCUGUGACCAUUUCUCAAUCACAGAACGAUUGAACUGCAUAGUCCCCGCGAUCUUGUAAAGGCAUUUGGCCUGGAAGACGCUCUGCAGCCAUGUGCCAAGAACAAUGGCUAUAGGGACAAUGUUUCGUUAACCCCAAAGCAGCAACCUGAACCUCUUACUGUACAGUAUCUGCUCCGUUCAGAAUUGGCUCGACUUGAGUCACAGGAUGAAGCUUAUCAAAAGGAACUUCCAUGUCCAAGGAAGGAACCAAGAUCACUGAGAGGUUAUAGUAUGAAAAUGAAGAGAAAAAACCUAUUCUAAACAUUUUGUUAAUUGUCAAUAAUUAUUUUAAAACAUUUAAUAUAGUCUCCUAUCUGGUCCGCUGGCAUCAAGCUGCCGAAUUUACAUGGUCGCUCUGGGAAGCCAGCUGGCAGGCGGGCAUGGAAAGUGCUGGCUCCCAGCGCAUUGAGAAGACCAACAGAUAGAUGGUAAUUUUCCUCUUUGUUUUUCUUUUUUUCUCUCCCUCUUUUUCUUCCCUCUUGCCUUUCCCUCCCAUUGCCCCACUUUUUUUUUUUUUUGGCUAUUGAAGAUUUAUUGCCUUUCAGUACUUACAGAUGAUGUUUUCAUAGGCUCUAAUGAGGUCCCAGCAGUUUUUAACAAUAACAGGACAUUACUGUUCCUAAGAUAUAUUAUGUGUUUUCCCUCAUCUUUCUCCCUUGAAUGAAACGCUUAGAAGUAGGCUAACCCCCAAUUCCCUUCCCUUUACUAUGAUAAAUGGCUCCAUUACUUAAUAGGGCUAAAUACUUUGCUGUGACUUUUCUACUGCUCAUUUGAAUAAAAUCUUAAGAAAAGC